rnacentral:rRNA from 1 species
GACGAACGCUGGCGGCGUGCUUAACACAUGCAAGUCGAGCGGAAAGGCCCUUUCGGGGGUACUCGAGCGGCGAACGGGUGAGUAACACGUGAGUAAUCUGCCCCUGGCUUUGGGAUAGCUACCGGAAACGGUGAUUAAUACCGGAUACGACCACUUCUCGCAUGGGAUGGUGGUGGAAAGUUUUUCGGCCAGGGAUGUGCUCGCGGCCUAUCAGCUUGAUGGUGAGGUAAUGGUACACCAUUGCUUCGACGGGUAGCCGGCCUGAGAGGGUGGACGGUAACACUGGGACUGAGACACAGACCAGACUCCUACGGGAGGCAGCAGUGGGGAAUAUUGGACAAUGGGCGGAAGCCUGAACCAGCAGCGCCGCGUGAGGGAUGACGGCCUUCGGGGUGUACACCUCUUUCAGCAGGGACGAAGCGCAAGUGACGGUACCUGCAGAAGAAGCACCGACCAACUACGUGCCAGCCGCCGCAGUAA